rnacentral:rRNA from 1 species
AACCAGCACCUCAAGUGGUCAGGAUGAUUAUUGGGCCUAAAGCAUCCGUAGCCUGUUCUGUAAGUUUCCGGUUAAAUCCAUACGCUCAACGUAUGGGCUGUCGGAAAUACUGCAGAACUAGGGAGUGGGAGAGGUAGACGGUACUCGAUAGGAAGAGGUAAAAUUCUUUGAUCUAUUGAUGACCACCUGUGGCGAAGGCGGUCUACCAGAACACGUUCGACGGUGAGGGAUGAAAGCUGGGGAGCAAACCGG